AGUUUGAUCCUGGCUCAGAUUGAACGCUGGCGGCAUGCUUUACGCAUGCAAGUCGAACGGCAGCGCGGGGCAACCUGGCGGCGAGUGGCGAACGGGUGAGUAAUACAUCGGAACGUACCCAGAAGUGGGGGAUAACGUAGCGAAAGUUACGCUAAUACCGCAUACGUUCUACGGAAGAAAGUGGGGGACCUUCGGGCCUCAUGCUUUUGGAGCGGCCGAUGUCUGAUUAGCUAGUUGGUGAGGUAAAGGCUCACCAAGGCGACGAUCAGUAGCUGGUCUGAGAGGACGACCAGCCACACUGGGACUGAGACACGGCCCAGACUCCUACGGGAGGCAGCAG
rnacentral:rRNA from 1 species